UUUCCGUAGGUGAACCUGCGGAAGGAUCAUUACUGAGUGAGGGCCCCUCGGGGUCCAACCUCCCACCCGUGUUUAACGAACCUUGUUGCUUCGGCGGGCCCGCCUCACGGCCGCCGGGGGGCAUCUGCCCCCGGGCCCGCGACCGCCGAAGCCACCUGUGAACGCUGUCUGAAGUAUGCAGUCUGAGACAAUUAUUAAAUUAAUUAAAACUUUCAACAACGGAUCUCUUGGUUCCG
rnacentral:misc_RNA from 1 species